GAGCUUUCUGUUCCAAAAGUUUCCCGCUCCCUCCGCCCCCCAAGUGCCGUUGACAGAGUGCAGGCGGGAAGCUUCGGCUUGGGUAGAGAUGUAGCAUUGAACGUUUACGGAUGUACAGGGAGCGCGGGCCCACGGGCUGCUGGCCAGAGGUACUAGGAAGGUACAGGAGGGAGCCGGACGAGGACGCACCUUCCCCUGCCUUGGAAAGGAGACCUGCAUGGGAUUACAACACGGCUGCAGGUAAGGAGCAUCUCCUAGUCUACUGCCAGACUCUGUUGGCAGGUCUCAAGGCAGCCGCAAGAUGGCCCACUGAUUUGGUCAAGGUGUAUGAUGUCAGACAGGGAGCGGAUGAGAGCCCAGCCGCCUUUCUUGAAAGGAAAUGAAACCUUCCGUAGAUAUAUGCAUGUAGAGCCUAAGAAGCCUAAACAUACAGGUACAGUUGCUUUGGCUUUCAUCAACCAGUCCGCUCCAGAAAGAAACCACAAAGAUAGGGAAGAAUAGGACAGAUGUCGAUGCAGGAAUUACUACAGAGAGCUGAGAGAGUAUAUAAUAAUAAUAAGGAUAGUACGAAGGAAAAGCAACUGAAGACUGGGAAGGCCUUGAAUCGAGAUUUGGCCAAAGUCCUACUGGCCAGCAGUGUUCCGGACCCUGGAGAAAGGAGGUGCCAACUCCAGCGGCUGGCCAAUGAUAAAGGACCUGAAGGAUGUUGCAGACAACCGUUAAGUAAGAAUCAAUGUGCUUACUGCAAAGAGGAGGGCCACUGGUUCAGGGAUUGCCCCAAGAGGAGAACUUCGCCCCAGACCAAGGUCCUGGCAAUGGAGGAAGACUAAGGGGGUUGGGGUUCAGAUCCUCUCCCCGAACCCAGGGUAACCCUUAUAGUGGAGGGGAAGCCCCUGGACUUUUUGGUCGACACAGGAGCUCAGCAUUCAUUACUUUUACAACCCGAAGGGCCAAUCUCCCCCGAAAGGUCCUGGGUGCAAGGGGACACAGGUGUGAAACAAUACUCCUGAACACCCGAAGAACGAUGGACUUAGGAAUGGGCCAGCUAACACAUUCGUUUCUGGUGAUCCCCAAAAGUCCCUAUCCCCUACUGGGAAAGGACCUACUUACUAAGAUGAAGAUCCAUUUUAAGCCUGAUGGCCCCCAAUUAUUGUAUAAAAAAAGACAACCCAAUUCAGAUACUGACUCUUGACCUAGCCUCAGAGGCUGAAAAUAGACUUUUUGAGGUGCCCAUCGCCCCCUUGAAUGAUUUAUAAAUUUGGCUGGCACAAUUUCCCCAUGCUUAGGUGGAAACCAGAGGAAUGAGGCUGGCGAAACACCAGCCUCGGGUGUUUGUUGGGGCUGAUUCUGCUCAGAUUCACCAAUACCUCGUGUCCCAGGAGGCUCAGAAGGGGAUAAUCCCCCAUAUGUGGAAACUCCUAGCCAAAGGGGUCUUGAGACCACGUCAGUCAGCAUGGAACACACCAUUACUACUAGUGAAAAAGCCUCAUUCUAAUGAUUAUUGUCCUGGUCCAAGACUUGAGAGAGGUCAAUAAGAGGGUCAUGGAUACCCACCCAACUGUGCCGAAUCCUUAUACCUUACUAAGCUCCCUGUCCCCUGAGCAGGUCUGGUGUACGGAAUUGGACUUGAAAGAUGCUUUCUUCAGCCUGCCUUUAGCCCCCAAGAGCCAAGAAUACUUUGCCUUUGAAUGGAAUGAUCCAGGAAAGGGCAUAAAUGGUCAACUUACCUGGACCCGAUUGCCACAAGGAUUCAAAAAUUUUCCCACUAUGUUUGAUGAAGCCCUCCAUGAAGACCUCGGUGAGUACUGAAAUGGAAACCCAGGUAUCACCCUGAUUCAAUACAUAGAUGAUCUCCUGAUUGCUGCAGGGUCAGAGGAAGCCUGCCUCUGGAGGGCACCUGAAGACUCCUGCAAACUCUGGGAGAUUUAGGCUAUUGAGCAUCAGCUUAGAAAGCACAGCUUUGUAGGACUGAGGUAACAUUUGGGCUAUAUCCUGAGAGAUGGACAAAGGUGGUUAUCGGACCCAAGAGAGGAGACAGUCCUUAACAUACCUCCACCCAAAAACCCCCACCAGGUGAGGGAAUUUUGGGGGUCAGCAGGCUUUUACAGGCUAUGGAUCCCAGGAUAUGCAGAAAUGGCAAGACCCCUUUAUGAGGCCACCAAAUAAACCAAAACCUUCAAAUGGAUUGUUGAACAACAAAAGGCAUUCGACCAACACAAGCAGGCUUUGUUGUCAGCAACAGUGUUAGGGCUACCCGAUAACACUAAGCCCUUCCAUCUGUUGUGGACAAAAGCAAGGAAAUAGCAAAAGGGGUUUUAACACAGACCCUGGGACCUUGGAGAAGGCUGAUCUCAUACCUGACUAAGAAGCUUGACCCAGUGGCCGCAGGAUGGCCACUGUGUCUCCACAUCAUCUCAGCAACUGCACUCCUAGUUAAGGAUUCGGAUAAGUGAACUCUCAGUCAAAACCUGAUUGUGAUGUGACUACCCCCCAUGCUUCUAGAAGGGGUACGAAAACAACCACCUAGCUGAUGGCUGAGUAAUGCCCACAGGACUCACUUCCUAGUUGAGUUGUCUUUCAGCUCCCUGCUUCCUUGAAUCCAGUGACCCUCCUACCAGACUCAGAACUUGAAUAACCUUUGCACCAGUGUGAAGAAAUACUAGCCCGAGUACAUGGUGUCCGGGCAGAUCUGAAGGAUGCCCCCCUACCAGAUGCUGAUCGUACUUGGUUCAUGGAUGGGUCAAAAGAGGGCAGGUGAGGCAGUGACCACCGACACUGAGGUAAUUUGGGCACAACCCCUUCCUCCAGGGACCUCUGCCCAGCAAGCUGAGCUGAUAGCCUUGACCCAUCCCCUUACCUGGGCAAAGGAUUGGCCAUUAAUGUCUAUACGGACAGUUGGUAUGCCUUUGCCACUGCUCACGUGCAUGGGACUGUACAAAUACCAGGAAAAGGGACUCCUUGCAGCAGAGGGAAAGACUAUUAAAAAUAAGGAAGAGAUCCUGCAACUCUUGAAAGCUUAUGGCUCCCCAAGAAACUUGCCAUUAUUCAUUCUCCUCGGCACCAGAAAGGCACCACUAGCAACAGGGAACAAGCUUGCCGAUAGAACAGCCAAAAGCAUCAAAAGCAUUGCACUUCAGGACACGACAACUGUCCAGGCUGCCAUCCUGCCAGAACCACCAGAUCCAAACUUACCAAGCGUAUCUCAGUAGACUGAGGAGGAGAAACACUGGGCUAAAAACCAACCAAUGAGCCAAUACUUGGAGGCAUGGUGGCAUUCGUUGGAGGGUAAGUUGAUUUUUCCCAGUUCACUAGCCAGAGCUUUUCUCAGAAAGAUUUACAGAGUUACUCACAUGGGAUCCAAAGGAUGGCAGAUGCCAUGCAGCAGUCCAAAGUAUUGGCACCUCCCCCAGCCCCCAACAGGGCCACCAGCCCCUACUCUAACUCCUCUAAGUCUGGCCUCUGGCCAAGGAGAAGUCCCCAGUUCUUCACUAGAGAGCCAAGACUCCUUUGUUGUCCUCAUAACCAAGACAGCCUGAGUCUUAAAUGCCCUGGAUUAAGCAAGCAGAGGCUGGUUUGAAACCUGGUUUGAUGCAUCCCUGUGGCUUACCACUUUAAUCUCCACCCUAUUAAGCUCCCUUCUUAUUCUUUUGGUUAUUUUCAGACCAUGCUUGCUUAAUAAGCUAUUAGGAUAUAUUAAACAGAGAUUGGGGACUAUACAGCUGAUGAUAAUGAGAACCCAGACCGCCAGCUUGAAGCUGACAACGAACUGUAAGAGCCCAAGAUUGGCCUCUUUAUACACAAGGAAAGGGGGGAAUGAAGGGCUUCCGUUAGCUUGGGUGACUCAAUUUUGAGAUGAGAAGCCAUCUUGUGCACACCUGUGACUGGGGGCUGAACUCAAGUUCCAGGAAAAAACACAAAAUGGACACUUGGCAGAAAACAGAGUCAACUAACUCCCCUAGCAACAGCCAAUCAGAGUAAGACAGAAAAUUCCCCCAACAUUCCAAAUGUUCUUUCAGAUAGCAUAAAAUAGCAGUUAUGGUUAAGCUUCAACUAGCAAACCAAUCGUAUUAAAGGUCACCUUGCUCCUAAAGUUUUUACCCAAUCCUGUAAUGCCAAGGCAUGGAAACCCCUUGCUUGCAGUUUUUUUCCUUUAAAAACCCUGUUCACCAAGAGUUCGGGGUCCCUCUCCUCCACUGCUGCGUCAGUGAGGCUUGGGUCCUGAGUUUGAUCGCUCUCGUAAUAAAGCUCUCUUGCUUUUGCAACUGAGUCAUCUCCUGGUGGUCUUUGAGGUCUCGUGGUCUGGGCAUAAGAAGACCUCUGGAAGAGCAGAUAGUGUGGUCUUAACUGAUGAGCCAUCUCUCCAGCCUAAGGAUGGAUUUUUUUUUUUUUCCUGUGUAGCCUCUGCUGUCCUGGACUUGCUUUGUAGACCAGGCUAGCCUUGAACUCACAGAGCUCCACCUGCCUCUGCCUACCCAAAAGCUGGGAUUAAAGAUGUGCAUCACGAUAUCCAACUAAGGGGAUAGAUUUUUUUUAAGGUGCCAGUUUUUGUUUGUUUGUUUAUUUGUUUAUAUCUGUCUGUCUGUCUGUCUGUCUGUCACUAGCACAGUUUGGCCUGGAGAAAGAUUUUUUUAUUUUAUUUCCUACAUCUUUGCUUGGCUAAACACUAUUGUUCAGGCCUCAAACAGCAUAAAACUGAAGCUCUGAGCCCUCUUCCUAUUGUUUAUCUCUUAGACCUCUUGCCUAAUUCUCUGUAGUAAUUACAUUGCUGUCCAUCUCCACCAGCACGACGGAGCCUAUGAGUACAAUACACUAGUCGUGCUGAUGGCUCUUGUAAGCCAUCAGGUUGUAUCGUCACACGAUCUUCUUUGUCUUUCAAGACCGUGAAGUGUUAACUGCUCACCCUACAUGAUAGUACUGUUGUUUCUUUUUUGACUGCUGUGAAUGUGCGGUUUGUGGCCACAAAUUAGGAACUUAGCUUUCUUGGAAAAUAACCUGAUCUGUGUCAGUGGAAUGCAUGAUGCCGACAAGGAAAUAGGAAUUCCGGGACUGUAGCCAGAAGGAACCUAUAAGUCAUCUUGUCUAAUGUCCGUCCCCGCAGGAAAUCACAAAUUAGAAAGUUCUCAUCUGUAAAUGGAAAGAUUGGAGGAGUGACCUUGUGUACCCAAUAUUCAUUGAUCUAGCUUAGGUGGGGUGAGUGCAGAGUGGCAGCUAAAGCCUGGCCAGCUAAUGGAAAUGCAAAACGAUUUUCCCUGCACAGUGCUCUUGAGUAACUCAGAGGUAGGAGCUAGUCUCACAGGCAGCAUCCCCAGGUGUCCAGCUGCCAAAGAUCAAGGAAUAUGAGUGCGGGGAUAAUGUUACCGGUAGGAUCUCAUGUGGUAAAAAAAAAAAAAAAAAUGCAAGAGGCUCAGUUUUCUGUGGUUUGUUAAGGCAUUCCCAAGUUAAUGGGGAUGAUAUUUAUACCUCCCUUAUAUGUUUUGGAAACCAAACACAGGACACACCCCUCUUAACUCAUCUGUGGAUGUAACACUAUCUGUUGUUAAAUAGAAAAAUGGAGAAAAAGAAAUAAAUUCUAGAAAUGCCCUGAGCAUUCUGGAAGUGGGCAAGAGUGCCAGGGGUUCAAAGCCAGCCUAACCUACACAAGGAGUUUGAAACCAGCCUGGGCUACAUAAGACCUUGUUUCAAAAAAACUAAAAAAGGGCCAUGGGGAUCGCUUGGUGGGUAAGGGCAUCUGCCAGAAGGCCUGUCAACCAGAGUUUAAUCCCUGGAACCCACGAGGUGGAAGGAGAGCACCGAAAUCGUCCUCUGACUCCCACAUGCUUGGCUGCAUGUGUGUGCACUUACGGGUGCCACCCAUGCCCGAUAAAUAAAUAAAUGGAAUAAAUGUGUGAAACAGAAAUUGUGAUAUUAA